CAGCACCUGCUUAGAAAGAGAGUUAAUAGCCAAUGCUCAGAAAGCAUCAGCAGUCACAACGGCCACCAGCAGGGCUUGGUAAACAUGAGUGACAGUCAUCUCUUUGUCCACCUUCUCCAUGGAACUCUGAGCCCCUGGACAGUAAGAACUAUAAUAUUCAACUCUGGAUCCCAGAACCUGGGCCAGCUCCCAGCAUGAUAGCUCCCUGACGUCUAUGGGGUGCCAGGCACAGGCCCCAAGGCGGCCAGCACCACUGUCUUCCCAGCCCUAACCCCAUCUCAUCCUCAAAGGUGAUGACACCCUCUGACAGCUCUGGCCUGGACACACUCCACUGGACACACACACACUUUUCGCAAACUCGUCUCAUCCUUCAAGACUGCUUCUGGGCAUAGGCCUCCCCCUGCUCAGGCCACAUAGUACAGACUUCUGAGCAUCUCAUCCCAGGCUGUAUUGUCAGCUACUUACUAUACACACACACACACACACACACACACACACACACACACACACACCCCCUGCUCCAGAAGCUCCAGGGCACCAGGCUGCUCUGUGUUUCUGCAGGCCCAGUGCUUAGCAUGGAGCAGGCACUCUGAGAACAUUCCCUGGAUGAAGAAAUGAAUGGAUGUACAGACCACUCCUGACCACACAGCCACCGGCAGCCUUCAAGGAUCAGAUCUGGACACCAAACCCCAGCUUCCAGCAGAAGAAAACGUGGGGCACAUAGAAGGAGCCAAGGGGAGGCCUGGCUAUUGCUCAUCCUGUUGAAACAGUCAAACACUCUGUAAACUAGCUAAAUGGUUCCAAAGGAAAUGGGAAUCUAUUUUGUCUCCUGUCACCAGGGCUGCAAAUCCUGAUAUAUCUCAGGCACAGCAGAGAGGCGGAUGGCUCAGCACUUGGAGAGAUGCCUGUGUGCGGCAGGAAGUGGGGUGGAUGGCUCAACAGGUCCCCCUCUAUUCUGAGAGCCAGUCCUGUGAUGGCUGAGUGUACAGCCAGCUGAAAUAAAAAAUAACUUUGAACGCCAACCAUUGGAACAU
rnacentral:lncRNA from 1 species